rnacentral:sRNA from 1 species
UCCUCGAUCUGCUGCGGGCAGAUGAAGUGGAUGUGGCUGUCGAUGCCGCCGGCGGUGACGAUCAUGCCCUCGGCGGCGAUCACCUCGGUGCCGGGGCCGAUCACGAUGUCCACGCCGGGUUGCACGUCGGGGUUGCCGGCCUUGCCGAUCUUCGCGAUGCGCGAGCCGCGCAGGCCGAUGUCGGCCUUCACGAUGCCCCAGUGGUCGACGAUCAGCGCAUUGGUGAUCACGCAGUCGACGGCGUCGCCGUCGCCGGGGCCGUUCAUGCGCUGGCCCUGACCCAUGCCGUCGCGGA